CCGAAAUAAACUUAAUUGAGGGGGUUUUAUGUUAAAAAUCCUUCUAAUUUCAACGGAAAAAUAUUGGGGAUAUUCUGAUUAUAUGCAAAUUUGAUAUUAUUUUAAAAUUUUCUUCAAAUGUCAACUAUUUUCAUAAAUACUUUAAGUUUAUGAUUAAAAAGACUAAACUAAUAAUCUAUUAUUAUAAAAAAAAUUUUGCUCACUCCCAAAGCCUCCACCUCAGAAAGUCGAAGUCUCUUGUGUCGACACGUGUCCUUUAUAUACAAAACACAACGCUUCAUUAAUUCGCGACUCAAUGUGUAUUGAGCUUUAUCUAUUAUCUUUAUGACGAUGAGUUUAUGGGCUCUGGAAACUGGCCCAAUAGGCCAAAUGAUUCAGCCGUAACUGAGCUUUACGCAUGAAACUUCUCUGUCAUUCCACAUCAUUGCGUAGCUUGAGUUCUAUGAGCGUUAUUUCAUCUUCUUCCUUAUCAAUUCGAACAGCUACCAGUUACAGAUUAAACCCCUUCAAAUCCUUCUUAAAUCCAUACACUAUUGUUGGGGAAAAAUACUCCGAUAUAAUAAUUUCCCAAGUCCUGGGCAGGACAUCGGCCUCCAGGUCCCUGUUGAGCAGGGUCCAGGUCUCUACCGAGAAAGAUCCAGGUUUCAGCCCCUGCUUUUGUCCCUGUCUCCAGGUAAAAUGAAAGUUUUCUACUAAGAUGGAUUCUUCCAUAUUUUCGAAUAUGAAAGAGUUUAACCUACUUUGACCGACCUAUACAAGAUUAUAUAAAGGGAGCCUAUACCCUAGAACAAGGAAUCGACAUUCAGAAACUAAGAGAUUAGAGCUAUGCGGCUAGAACUAAGGUUUAUACACCAAACGUUGUAGUUUCUACUCAAUUCAUCAAUAAAAUAUCUUUUAGUCUCGAUUUCUCUUGAUUUUCUCUAGUUCUUCUAUUGUUCUGUGGUACUAAAAGACUCUUUUAUCAUCUCCUGAUUCAUAUGACAUUUUGGUAAAUUUAUAUGCUUUAAUGUUCUAAAUGCUAUCUCAAAUCGAUGUCAUAUAGAUGUUGCUUUAUAAUUCUAAAAAAAAAUACAAUAUAUUGUUUUCCAUGACAGAACAAAAAAAAGAGAAAGAAAUCAUCACUUAGUCUGACUAUUUGUGUCAUCUUUAUAUUGUUUCCUAAUUAAAAACAAACUUUUGACAAAAGGUAAACUUUAUAUAAAUUUACAAAGAUGGAAUUAUUCUGAAUUUUGUAAAGAUUUUUUUGAAGAAGUUAAGAUAUCUGGAAAAAAAAGUCAUUGGCUUAGUUCUAAAGCAUGAACAAAAAAUAUAUUAAAUUUUAGUUACUUAUUGGUUAUUAUUUAGCCCAUUUUUAAAAAUGUACACCAAUAAAUAAAUUUAAUUAUUUUCAAUUUUACCAUAAGAAAGUAUAUAUAUGUAUAUCAAAUUAUUAAAUCUCCAAUGGAAAAAUAACAUUUGACACAAAAGGAAAUCCAAUUUAAAAAUAUUUGUGGCAAUUUAGUUAUUAUAAAAUAACUGAUCACGUCUUCAAUCCAAAAUAUUCGCCAACUAUAUAACAAACAAACACUCUCUUCUUCUCAUCUCUCAACCUCCCCUCCCCCAGAUCAUAAAAUCUCCACGUCAGCAAAACUCCGUCGCAAACUCGCCGGAGAAACCGAGAAACUUUACCAUCAUGAUUCCGUACGGAACGGUUGAGGAAGCUUCCUUCGCGCUCGGAAGAAACCUCACGUGGUUGGAGACAGUUUGGUUCGAUUACUCCGCCACAAAGUCCGACUACUAUCUCUACUGCCACAACAUUCUCUUCCUAUUCCUCGUCUUUUCUCUGGCUCCUAUCCCUCUGGUUUUCGUCGAACUGGCUCGAUCCGUUUCUGGGUGGUUCGACCGGUACAAGAUCCAACCCAAAGUAAACUACUCCUUGUCCGACAUGUUCGGUUGUUACAAAGACGUCAUGAAGAUGUUCAUCCUCGUCGUUGGUCCAUUACAACUCGUUUCUUAUCCUUCCAUUCAGAUGAUUGGGAUACGAUCUGGGUUACCAUUACCAACACUUUCAGAGAUGCUGCCACAGUUGUUCGUCUACUUCUUGAUAGAAGACUACACAAACUAUUGGGUACAUAGAUUUUUCCACAGUAAGUGGGGAUACGAGAACAUUCAUCGUGUUCAUCACGAAUACACAGCUCCUAUUGGAUACGCUGCACCUUAUGCACAUUGGGCUGAAGUGUUGCUUCUUGGAAUCCCAACGUUUAUGGGACCAGCGAUUGCUCCUGGUCACAUGAUAACCUUUUGGUUGUGGAUAGCCUUAAGGCAAAUUGAGGCUAUAGAGACUCACAGUGGAUAUGAUUUUCCAUGGAGUCCAACAAAAUACAUCCCUUUCUAUGGUGGUGCUGAGUACCAUGACUACCAUCACUACGUUGGAGGACAAAGCCAGAGCAACUUCGCUUCAGUUUUUACCUAUUGUGAUUACAUUUAUGGAACUGACAAGGGUUACCGAUUCCAAAAGAAGCUUCUUGAGCAGAUCAAAGAGUCGUCCAAGAAGAGCAACAAGCAUAACGGAGGAAUCAAGUCCGACUAGUAAAUGAAAAUAUGGUUCUGAUGAAGAAGUUACGCCUGGAGAAGAUAUAGCUCACAUGAAACCUGCUGCUUCCGACAAAUGUGGGUCAUGAUAUAUAAGUGUGUCGGGACCGGGUUUUGCUCUUUUCUCGCAUUUUAUUUGGUUUAUUUUGCUUCGUGUUGGAGAAGGAAGAAUAUGUCAUCAAAGCCGUGUGUGUUCUUCUUAUUAAAAUGUAUUUGAUUAACCUUUGCUCGUACUUAAUACUUAUCACUACUUUGCUAAAUAGUAAUAGUAAUAAUAUAUAAGUUAUAUAUCCAUAACAAUCAUCAAGCCCGUCUAGCUCAGUUGGUAGAGCGCAAGGCUCUUAACCUUGUGGUCGUGGGUUCGAGCCCCACGGUGGGCGAUACUCUUUUUUGCUUUGAUAUUGUACCAAACUUCGAGAGGGCUUCAAAAAGGCAAAUCCAUUAUAGGUUGUUAAGGAUUGUGUGAACAAAAAAAGAAAACUAUCCUUGUAAGAAUCCCAAACUCCGAGAGGGCUUCAAAAAGGCAAAUCCAUUAGGUUGUUUUAACUAUACAAGGGUAGUUU